GAAAAAACAUCCCUUAAAGCACCUGUCCCCAGUAGCAGCAACCCGGGGUUUCGGACGGGAGGUUGGGAGCCUUCCCUGCCCUCCGUGAAGGGAGGGAGCAGCGCCGGGGGCACAGUGCAGAAAUAACACCAAAAACAGACUUUCUGCAAGUGUCUGUGGACUUACACAGCAGCCUCAAGCGCAGCUGCCCGAGAAAUGCAACAGCAUCUUCCACACCGCUAUGAGGAAAAAGGAAGAGACAGGCUGACUAAUUCCAGUGGGAGCAGCAAACACAGGCUGCUGGUCUGGGCUCUUCCUGUGCUCAUCUUCAAUGAUGUCUUCCUCCUCCACCUCCAGCUCAUUGGAGCUCACUUCAGCUGGCCGAGGUUUCCUGUUGGCACAGAACUCACAGUGGCACAGAGAAAGAACAGGAGGUAAGAUGACAGUUCACAAGCUCACACAAGGAGGAGGAGUACAGAGGAUGGUAGGAAAACAGUAAGAAAUCAGGGUAAGAAGUCUUAGGAGUAGCAAAGGCUCAAUACACACAUGUACAUGUGUUAAGUGAUAAACUGAAAUACUCUGAAUAAUACUCUGAAAAAUGAACUUAUUGUUUAAAGCAGAGUGGCAACAUUUCAGUUACCUUGAUUGAAAUAGCAAACAGUAAAGAGAGCGAAAUAAAACAACAGUUCUAACAAUGCACAGGUAUCCAAUUUAAAUAAUCAGCCUGCAUUUAGGAAAAGCAUAAGGCUCUAUCUUUAGAGAA